CAUUGCAUUAAUGCAUUUUUUGUACCUACAGGACAUUGCCUCUUAAAGAGUUCAAGAGAUACAUGUUCGAUUACAUCCCUAGAGAGGGAAAUUAGGCUGCAAAUUUUUUGGCUACAAGAGCCAGAGAUUGGAUGCUACAACCAACAUCGAAGACUAUUGUAGAAAUUUGCCGUGCUUUUGACACAAUUUUGUACAAGAUGGAUCUAAUCCAUAUGUGCAAGAAAGCCGCUCUGCUAAUAGCUCAACAAGUUUUCCUGGACCAGUUUCAGUUGGAAUUAUUCCUUUACAAGGAGAUUUUGAAAACGAGGGAACUAGUUCAUGUGUGCAAGAAUACAAAAUUGACAUUACCCACAUAAUGUGAGGGGAAGACAAUCGCAUAACAGUUAUGAUCCACAACAUUCCCAAAAGGACGAGACGCAUAUGGCUGUCCUAAAGCGUCAAUUCCCUAAAGACUCUGAAUUCCUAAGAGUAGAGGAAAAAUUUAUUUGCCUUUGCGAUGUAAGAAACUACAAGAUGUUAUAGUUUGUAAUAUUUUGUCUUUAUGAUACUAGCAUAUGUGUAACAUAUCUCACAAAUAAAAUGUGGCAUUUUGGUCCAUUUUUUCU